AGUAGUCAGAGAAGUCGUUUCUAUAGACAUCAGAAAGGGGAAUAGAAUUUCCUGACAAUGAGGGGAAAUCCAAAGUGAAGCAAGUGGCUGUUCGCAAGCUGGGUCACCCUGUGGGUUCCCUGCAGAACUUGAAUCUUAUUUCAGGGUAUUCAUUCAUUCGUUUACCUGCUGCCUCACUAACUGACAUGUACUGAGUGCUUUCUACGUGUCAAGCACAGGACUAUGAUCGGUUCCUGGAUUGACAGAGAACUGGGUAAUUUCAACCAAUAGCACAUCUUGAGUUUGAGCAUUUCUGGACUGGAUAGAGAAAUACGUUGAAUAUCAUCAGGAUUACUGCAGCUAAACAGGUGUGAUCCUCGGUCACUGAAAGUAAAAAGGAAGAGCAUGCAAACACUGUGCUGGAGGGUUCUUACCCAGGCUUCCAUGUAAUGAAUGACAUACACUCCUGAUACCAACAAGCACUUUUCACUCUGCAUUAUGUAACUUGGCAUGGCAAAAUAAAGUGAAAAAUGAACAAUAGCCAACCUGUG